AACGAACGCUGGCGGCAUGCCUAACACAUGCAAGUCGAGCGGGUACCUUCGGGUGCUAGUGCCGCACGGUUGCGUAACGCGGGGUAAUUUACGCGUGGGUUCGCAAUCACUCAGCGAAAGCUGUCCUAAUACCGGGUGAUGUCGUACGACCUAAGAUCUAUCGACUGAGGAUGAGCGCGCGUUGGAUUAGCUGGUAGGAGAGGUAGAGGCCUACGAAGUCUACGAGCCAGAUCUGGACUGAGAGGAUGAUCAGCCACACUGGGACUGAGACACGGCGCAGACUCCUACGGAAGGAAGCAGGUGUGACCAGUCGACGACGCGCGAGAGACUGAGCCUGCAGUGUCGCGAGAGUGAGGAAGGAGUUAGGAUUGUAGAGCUGUGUUAACAGGGAAGAUAAUGACAGUACCGGGAGAAUAAGCGCCGGCUAACUACGUG
rnacentral:rRNA from 1 species